rnacentral:snoRNA from 1 species
GAUCAUUUUAUUAAUCUGCUUUCUUUUGUAUAUGUGAGCAGUGUUAUUUCUUACAUGUUAUACAAAUGGUGGAUGGUUAAUUAGCAGAACAGCUAAUAAUGGUAAUGCUUAACAUCUUCAAACAGCA